ensembl:snoRNA
CGGGCACUGAAUCGAGGCCGCAGCUUCCUGACUCUGUUGGCUUCAAGCAGGAGCCUAAAGAGUGUUUCUGUGGUCUGUUGGCCAUUUCAGAACAUGGGCAGUGAAAUGGUCAAUUCAUUAGAAAGAAACAGCU